rfam:Microbacterium esteraromaticum strain B Mb 05.01 genome assembly, contig: Scaffold4
GGGGCUAUAGCUCAGGUGGUUAGAGCGCUUCACUGAUAAUGAAGAGGUCCCAGGUUCAAGUCCUGGUAGCCCCA